rnacentral:rRNA from 1 species
GUGCCAGCCGCCGCGGUAACACGUAGGGGGCGAGCGUUGUCCGGAAUUACUGGGUGUAAAGGGUGCGUAGGCGGCCUUGCAAGUCAGAUGUGAAAGAUCACGGCUUAACUGUGGUAAGCAUUUGAAACUGUAAGGCUUGAGUGCAGGAGAGGAGAGUGGAAUUCCUAGUGUAGCGGUGAAAUGCGUAGAUAUUAGGAAGAAUAUCAGUGGCGAAGGCGGCUCUCUGGACUGCAACUGACGCUGAGGCACGAAAGCGUGGGGAGCAAACAGGAUUAGAUACCCUGGUAGUCCACGCUGUAAACGAUGAGUGCUAGGUGUCGGGGGUCAUACCUCGGUGCCGCAGUUAACGCAUUAAGCACUCCACCUGGGGAGUACGGCCGCAAGGCUGAAACUUAAAUGAAUUGGCGG